rnacentral:rRNA from 1 species
AUUGAACGCUGGCGGCAUGCCUUACACAUGCAAGUCGAACGGUAACAGGUCUUCGGAUGCUGACGAGUGGCGAACGGGUGAGUAAUGCAUCGGAACGUGCCCAGUUGUGGGGGAUAACUGCUCGAAAGAGCAGCUAAUACCGCAUACGACCUGAGGGUGAAAGCGGGGGAUCGCAAGACCUCGCGCAAUUGGAGCGGCCGAUGUCAGAUUAGGUAGUUGGUGGGGUAAAGGCCUACCAAGCCGACGAUCUGUAGUUGGUCUGAGAGGACGACCAGCCACACGGGGACUGAGACACGGCCCAGACUCCUACGGGAGGCAGCAGUGGGGAAUUUUGGACAAUGGGCGCAAGCCUGAUCCAGCAAUGCCGCGUGCAGGAAGAAGGCCUUCGGGUUGUAAACUGCUUUUGUCAGGGAAGAAAUCCUCUGGGUUAAUACCCCGGGGGGAUGACGGUACCUGAAGAAUAAGCACCGGCUAACUACGUGCCAGCCGCCGCAGUAAUAC